AUGGCGAUCACACUGGUCGUGCUGCUCGUGCUGCUGUUGCUACUGCCAGUGACUCGAGUCUCAGCUCAGGAGCAGCAGCAGCAGCAGCCGCCGCCGCCACAACAUGUUGUGCAGCCGGGCUGCCGUGACAAGUGCGGCAACAUCACCAUUACCUACCCCUUUGGCAUCGGCGCGGGUUGCUUCCGCGACGAUGGCCGAGGUGGCUUCCAGCUUUUGUGUGACGACUCCCUACCAGUCCCACGGCUCACCGUAGCUGACUACGGCAUCCAGAUAAACAGCUUAUCCAUUAGCACCGGCGAGGCCCAUGCCUCCCUCAACGCGACUCGCCGCUGCUACAACAGCAAGGGGAGCGUCAUUAGCCAAGGCGGCCCGGUAGCUGUACCACUCGUUGGGACCAACCUCCUCUUCUCGGCCACCAAGAACCGCCUCGUCGUGCUCGGCUGCCCCAACCUCGGCUACUUCAACGACGUUGACGGCUACUACGUCAGUGGCUGCAUGGCUGUGUGCCGGCCACGGAAAUCCACUGCAUCGGGGUCCUGCACAGGCGUCGGCUGCUGCCAGAGCAUGAUACCCCCCGCUGUCGACUACUAUCAGCCGUACCUGCUCGACAUCCCAAAGAGCAAGGGAGACCUGAUCAUCUAUGUAAACAGCGUGACCUGCCGGUAUGUGUUCUUGGUGGAGGAGACGUGGUUACAUACCAACUACACCAGCAAGAACCACAACAAGACCGACGACUUCGCCGUGCCUGUCGUGCUCGACUGGGCUGUCCGGAACGUGGAAAACUGCAGAGGCGCUAGGAAGAAUGCAACCGCAUAUGCAUGCCGGAGCACGCUCAGCAAGUGCGUCGACUCCAAAAACGGCGCUGGGUACCGUUGCGGCUGCUCCAAGGGAUAUGAGGGCAACCCCUAUUUAUAUGAUGGAUGCAAAGACAUCAAUGAGUGUGAGCGGAAAGGAAAACACGCAUGCUACGGGGUCUGCACAAAUACGCCCGGAAGCUACACUUGCCAAUGCCCUCCUGGGACUAGUGGAGACGCCACCGUGAAGAAUGGUUGCCGGCCAAAGGACAGUUUCACUUUAGCCGUGAAAGUAGUUACAGGAAUCAGCCUUGGAGUGUUCUUGCCAUUUUUCAUGUGCUUCUGGCUCUACUUGGGACUCCAGAAGAGGAAGCUUAUCAGAACAAAGCAGAAGUUCUUCGAGCUAAAUGGAGGCCUCUUCCUGCAGCAGCAAAUACAUAACUACAAUGGCAACAGCAAAGGCACUGGUGGGUUCAAGAUCUUUUCCAAGGAAGAGCUGGAGAAAGCGACCAAAAACUUUGCAGCCGACCGUGUUCUCGGCCAUGGAGGACACGGCAUUGUCUACAAGGGUGUCCUUGAGGACAAGACAGUGGUGGCGAUCAAGAAGUCAAAGAUAAUGGAAGAGGCCCAGACCAAAGAAUUCGCGAGGGAGAUGUUCAUCCUCUCCCAGAUCAACCACAGGAAUGUCGUCAAGCUGCUCGGAUGCUGUCUCGAAGCAGAAGUGCCCAUGUUGGUCUACGAGUUCGUCUCAAAUGGCACCCUCGACCAAUACAUCCAUGGUGGCAAGGGUAUCAACUCCGACAGAGCUUUUGGCACCUGUCUUCGGGUAGCAGUAGAGUCAGCCGAGGCAUUGGCGUACAUGCACUCUUCGGCCUCGCCGCCAAUCAUUCAUGGAGACGUCAAGACAGCAAACAUUUUGUUGGAUGACAAGCUCACAGCAAAAGUUUCUGAUUUUGGAGCAUCAAAAUUGGCACCAACUGAUGAGGCCACGAUUGCAACGCUGGUGCAAGGAACUUGUGGUUACCUUGAUCCAGAAUACCUAAUAACAUGCUUGCUGACUGACAAGAGUGAUGUGUACAGCUUUGGCGUCGUCCUAUUGGAGCUUCUAACAAGGAAGAAGGCGUUGUACUUGGACGGGUCGGCAAAAGAUAGAAGCCUCGUUUUAUGCUUCAUGACGGCAGCGAAGGUAGGUCAGCACCAAGAGCUUCUGGACAGACAAGUAAGGGAUGAGAUGAGAAUCGAAGUGCUCGAAGAGAUCACGCACCUCGUGAUAAGAUGCUUGAACAUGAGUGGGGAGGAACGGCCGACGAUGAAGGAGGUUGCGGAGAGGCUGGAGAUGCUGAGGAGAUACCAGCACCAUCCGUGGGCUCAAGCGGAUGGGAAUCAACAGAAUGUGAAUUACAAGUUCACGCAGGAUUACAUCCUUGAUUUUUGA
rnacentral:rRNA from 1 species